CCCUUAGAUGUCCGGGGCUGCACGCGCGCUACACUGAAGGAAUCAGCGUGCUAAAACCAUUGUCGAAAGGCAUUGGUAAACCCAUUAAAAUCCUACGUGAUUGGGAUCGGGAAUUGCAAUUAUUUCCCUUGAACGAGGAAUUCCCAGUAAGUGUGGGUCAUAAGCUCGCGUUGAUUACGUCCCUGCCCUUUGUACACACCGCCCGUCGCUGCCCGGGACUGGGCCGUUUCGAGAAAAGCGGGGACUGCUGCUGUCGGGGCUUUCGGGCCUUGGCUUCGGUGGAAACCGCUUUAAUCGCAGUGGCUUGAACCGGGCAAAAGUCGUANCA
rnacentral:rRNA from 1 species